ACAAGCGGUGGAGUAUGUGGUUUAAUUCGUAUGCAACGCGAAGAACCUUACCUGGUCUUGACAUCCCGGAGACCCUUAGGAAACUAGGGGGUGCUUCCAUCUGGAAGAAUCUGGAGACAGGUGCUGCAUGGCUGUCGUCAGCUCGUGUCGUGAGAUGUUGGGUUAAGUCCCGCAACGAGCGCAACCCUUGCCUUUAGUUGCCAGCAGUUCGGCUGGGCACUCUAAAGGGACUGCCGGUGUUAAACCGGAGGAAGGUGGGGAUGGACGUCAAGUCCUCAUGGCCUUUAUGACCAGGGCUACACACGUACUACAAUGGCCGAUACAAAGGGCAGCGACACUGCGAGGUGAAGCCAAUCCCGUAAAAUCGGUCUCAGUCCGGAUUGGAGUCUGCAACUCGACUCCAUGAAGUUGGAAUCGCUAGUAAUCGUGGAUCAGCAUGCCACGGUGAAUACGUUCCCGGGCCUU
rnacentral:rRNA from 1 species